rnacentral:rRNA from 1 species
UACGGAGGGUGCAAACGUUGCUCGGAAUCAUUGGGCGUAAAGCGCACGCAGGCGGUCUGCUAAGUUUGGAGUGACAGUUGGUGGCUCAACCACCAAAGUGCUUUGAAAACUGACAGACUUGAGGGCUUCAGAGGGACACGGAAUUCCGGGUGGAGUGGUGAAAUGCGUAGAGAUCCGGAGGAACACCAAAGGCGAAGGCAGUGUCCUGGGGAGUACCUGACGCUCAGGUGCGAAAGCCAGGGGAGCGAACGGG